rnacentral:rRNA from 1 species
CUUACACAUGCAAGUCGAACGGCAGCACGGACUUCGGUCUGGUGGCGAGUGGCGAACGGGUGAGUAAUAUAUCGGAACAUACCCAGUAGUGGGGGAUAACUAUCCGAAAGGAUAGCUAAUACCGCAUACGAUCUGUGGAUGAAAGCAGGGGAUCUUCGGACCUUGUGCUAUUGGAAUGGCCGAUAUCUGAUUAGCUAGUUGGUAGGGUAAAAGCCUACCAAGGCGACGAUCAGUAGCUGGUCUGAGAGGACGACCAGCCACACUGGAACUGAGACACGGUCCAGACUCCUACGGGAGGCAGCAGUGGGGAAUUUUGGACAAUGGGGGCAACCCUGAUCCAGCAAUGCCGCGUGAGUGAAGAAGGCCCUCGGGUUGUAAAGCUCUUUUGUCAGGGAAGAAACGGAGUUCUCUAAUAUAGGAUUCUAAUGACGGUACCUGAAGAAUAAGCACCGGCUAACUACGUGCCAGCAGCCGCGGUAAUACGUAGGGUGCAAGCGUUAAUCGGAAUUACUGGGCGUAAAGCGUGCGCAGGCGGUUUUGUAAGUCUGAUGUGAAAUCCCCGGGCUCAACCUGGGAACUGCAUUGGAGACUGCAAGGCUAGAGUGUGUCAGAGGGGGGUAGAAUUCCACGUGUAGCAGUGAAAUGCGUAGAGAUGUGGAGGAAUACCGAUGGCGAAGGCAGCCCCCUGGGAUAAC